UCCUACGGGGGGCAGCAGUGAGGAAUAUUGGUCAAUGGGCGCGAGCCUGAACCAGCCAAGUAGCGUGAAGGAUGACUGCCCUACGGGUUGUAAACUUCUUUUAUAAAGGAAUAAAGUGAGGCACGUGUGCCUUUUUGUAUGUAUUUUAUGAAUAAGGAUCGGCUAACUCCGUGCCAGCAGCCGCGGUAAUACGGAGGAUGCGAGCGUUAUCCGGAUUUAUUGGGUUUAAAGGGUGCGUAGGCGGAAUGCCAAGUCAGCGGUAAAAUCGCGGGGCUCAACCUCGCUCCGCCGUUGAAACUGG
rnacentral:rRNA from 1 species